AAAACGGAGAGUUUGAUCCUGGCUCAGGAUGAACGCUGGCGGUAUGCUUAACACAUGCAAGUCGAACGGUGUCUUCGGACACAGUGGCGGACGGGUGAGUAACGCGUGAGAAUCUGGCUCUAGGUCUGGGACAACCACUGGAAACGGUGGCUAAUACCGGAUGUGCCGAGAGGUGAAAGGUUAACUGCCUAGAGAUGAGCUCGCGUCUGAUUAGCUAGUUGGAAGUGUAAUGGACUCCCAAGGCGACGAUCAGUAGCUGGUCUGAGAGGACGAUCAGCCACACUGGGACUGAGACACGGCCCAGACUCCUACGGGAGGCAGCAGUGGGGAAUUUUCCGCAAUGGGCGAAAGCCUGACGGAGCAAUACCGCGUGAGGGAGGAAGGCUCUUGGGUCGUAAACCUCUUUUCUCAGGGAAGAACAAAAUGACGGUACCUGAGGAAUAAGCAUCGGCUAACUCCGUGCCAGCAGCCGCGGUAAUACGGAGGAUGCAAGCGUUAUCCGGAAUGAUUGGGCGUAAAGCGUCCGCAGGUGGCAAUGUAAGUCUGCUGUUAAAGAGUCUAGCUCAACUAGAUAAAAGCAGUGGAAACUACAUAGCUAGAGUACGUUCGGGGCAGAGGGAAUUCCUGGUGUAGCGGUGAAAUGCGUAGAGAUCAGGAAGAACACCGGUGGCGAAGGCGCUCUGCUAGGCCGUAACUGACACUGAGGGACGAAAGCUAGGGGAGCGAAUGGGAUUAGAUACCCCAGUAGUCCUAGCCGUAAACGAUGGAUACUAGGCGUGGCUUGUAUCGACCCGAGCCGUGCCGUAGCUAACGCGUUAAGUAUCCCGCCUGGGGAGUACGCCGGCAACGGUGAAACUCAAAGGAAUUGACGGGGGCCCGCACAAGCGGUGGAGUAUGUGGUUUAAUUCGAUGCAACGCGAAGAACCUUACCAAGGCUUGACAUGUCGCGAAUCUUCUUGAAAGGGAAGAGUGCCUUCGGGAGCGCGAACACAGGUGGUGCAUGGCUGUCGUCAGCUCGUGUCGUGAGAUGUUGGGUUAAGUCCCGCAACGAGCGCAACCCUCGUUUUUAGUUGCCAGCAUUAAGUUGGGCACUCUAGAGAGACUGCCGGUGACAAACCGGAGGAAGGUGGGGAUGACGUCAAGUCAGCAUGCCCCUUACGCCUUGGGCUACACACGUACUACAAUGCUCCGGACAGAGGGCAGCAAGCAUGCGAAUGCAAGCAAAUCCCGUAAACCGGAGCUCAGUUCAGAUCGCAGGCUGCAACUCGCCUGCGUGAAGGAGGAAUCGCUAGUAAUUGCAGGUCAGCAUACUGCAGUGAAUUCGUUCCCGGGCCUUGUACACACCGCCCGUCACACCAUGGAAGCUGGUAGUGCCCGAAGUCAUUACUCCAACCAUUCGUGGAGGAGGAUGCCUAAGGCAGGACUGGUGACUGGGGUGAAGUCGUAACAAGGUAGCCGUACCGGAAGGUGUGGCUGGAUCACCUCCUUUUU
rnacentral:rRNA from 1 species